UACGUAGGGUGCGAGCGUUGUCCGGAAUUACUGGGCGUAAAGAGCUCGUAGGUGGUUUGUCGCGUUGUUCGUGAAAACUCACAGCUUAACUGUGGGCGUGCGGGCGAUACGGGCAGACUGGAGUACUGCAGGGGAGACUGGGAUUCCUGGUGUAGCGGUGAAAUGCGCAGAUAUCAGGAGGAACACCGGUGGCGAAGGCGGGUCUCUGGGCAACAACUGACGCUGAGGAGCGAAAGCGUGGGGAGCGAACAGG
rnacentral:rRNA from 1 species